UACGAAGGGGGCGAGCGUUGUUCGGAUUUACUGGGCGUAAAGGGCGCGCAGGCGGUCAUUUUUUGUCGAGUGUGAAAGCCCCGGGCUUAACCUGGGAACUGCGCUCGAAACGGGAUGACUAGAGAUCGGGAGAGGAGAGUGGAAUUCCCAGUGUAGAGGUGAAAUUCGUAGAUAUUGGGAAGAACACCGGUGGCGAAAGCGGCUCUCUGGAACGGUACUGACGCUGAGACGCGAAAGCGUGGGGAGCGAACAGG
rnacentral:rRNA from 1 species